UCAGGAAAUAGUUUAUAUAAAAUAUUAAUUUUGGAGAUUAAUGUAAAAAGGCAAUCUUUUUUUCCUG
rnacentral:tRNA from 1 species